ACUUGUCUCCUUUCAAAUUCGCCGCUAAGUUAAAUAUAAGGUCUUAGAUUGUUUUGGUUCGAAAUUUGAGUUUUGCUUUGUGUUUUUCGUGUAGGAUCAAUUGGGAGAUGUCUUGCAUUGGAUUCGACAAGGCAUGGCCCUUGUGUGUGGCCUACUUUGGGUGGUUUGUUGAUGACUACCCUGAACUAUCACAUUUAUUGCUGCCAAUCGUCUUAAUUCAAUCAAUUUUCUAUGUUAAAGGAAAUAGUUCAAGUAGAUUUUGGGCGCUUCACUCUUCACUGCAAAUGACAUCUCUUGGAGAAAGAGAACCCCAACAAUGAUACCCUUAUGUUUAUGGAUCUUGCUUUAGAACAGGUACUGUUUAGACUUCUCCCAAGUAGGCUGUAAUUUUAAACCGUUAGGUGAUUCUCUGAUCAAUUACUUUCAGUUUAAGAACUAACUACAGGUUUUUAUAUCGUGGAUUGUAAUUGGCUUGGAUUUCAGGACAGUGAAAAUUUGUCUAUCCCUGACAAACACCCAAAGUUGAUUUCAAUGAUGGACUGGUCUGGUUAAGUUACUGUCUGCCUUUCACUGAGGUUUCUGUACAGUUCUGAGACCUCAGCAGUGCAAUUUACAUUUUCUGGUCCUUUUAUAGUAUGAUUGAGUUUGUUUUUGUUGCUUAUCUGCUGUUGUUGGUGCUAUUGGUAGUUCCAAUAAUCUGACUGAGAUUUCCUAUCAAUAAAAGAAAUUUUCCUUCAGAUUCAGCUCUUGUCUUCAUGUGGUUGCCUCUCUUUACUUUAUUCUGCUUGAUAUAUAUCCCUUUUUUUGUCCUUCUUAUUCUGGUGUUAAGUUUGCUUCCAUAGCUGAUAUUUAACUUCUAUAUUUCUUACUGCUUUAUCUAGGCAAAGCUAGCUUUGGACAGCCUUGAAGUUCCUGUUGGGUACACCAUUUGUAUAUCUUAUAAAUUUGUUGUGCGUUGCCUUUUAAUAUUCUAUGCACAUUUCGUUUUAAGUUCACCUCUUACCCCUUUUCUUUGUUCACAUAACUUUUGGAUUUAUCCUAUUAGUCAUAUAAUUGAAGAUCUAGGCAAAGCUGCUUGAUAUGUUUAUGGCUGAUUGAAUGAUGUUGUAUGAUUUCAGUACUUUUGUUGCGCCGCUUGAGAGAUGUAGGUCUGUGAAUAUUAUUCUCCAUAGAUAGCCCACAGAAAGUUGAUUUGGAUUUUUGAUAGAAAUAAUUUAACUGGCUGCUUCCCUUCCACACUUGGACUGGUGCAAAAUCUAGAGGCAGUGAGUAAAUUUUAAUCCUCAAGUGAAGCUAUUCCAAGACUAUUAGAGAUGAAGUUAAGGAAGUCAAGGAACCGAAACUGAGCCGCCCCGAUUCAGAAAUUUGGUGCAACCGAAAAUUCGGCCCAACCUGGUAAAAAUCUGGUGUUCGGUUUCACAAAUGGACUUUCUGUUUUUUCGGUUCGAACUCGGUUUGGGCCUGACAACCGACCUGGCCUGACUAUGUCCAGGCCUAACAACUCGGAAUUUUAGUCAAGAACUCAGUUUUGGACUUGCAUAUGAAUCAAUUUCGUGGCAGGAUCCCUUCAAUCCCGAAGGGAAACAUCUUGAGGCGAUAAGAAGGAACAGCCAGCAGAUGCUUGGCUCGUGGAACAGUUAUACCAAACUCCUCCGUCAUGUCCAACUCAGUGGGCAACAAACCAUCUGGGAGUUCCCAAUCGAAACAAUGCAGAAGUUGUGCCAAUACUAGC